GGUGAGUAACACGUGAGUAACCUGCCCCCGACUUUGGGAUAAGCCCGGGAAACUGGGUCUAAUACCGGAUAUGACUUCUUACCGCAUGGUGGGUUGUUGAAAGAUUUAUCGGUGGGGGAUGGACUCGCGGCCUAUCAGCUUGUUGGUGAGGUAAUGGCUCACCAAGGCGACGACGGGUAGCCGGCCUGAGAGGGUGACCGGCCACACUGGGACUGAGACACGGCCCAGACUCCUACGGGAGGCAGCAGUGGGGAAUAUUGCACAAUGGGCGAAAGCUGAUGCAGCGACGCCGCGUGAGGGAUGACGGCCUUCGGGUUGUAAACCUCUUUCAGUAGGGAAGAAGCGAAAGUGACGGUACCUGCAGAAGAAGCGCCGGCUAACUACGUGCCAGCAGCCGCGGUAAUACGUAGGGCGCAAGCGUUAUCCGGAUUUAUUGGGCGUAAAGAGCUCGUAGGCGGUUUGUCGCGUCUGCCGUGAAAGUCCGAGGCUCAACCUCGGAUCUGCGGUGGGUACGGGCAGACUAGAGUGAUGUAGGGGAGACUGGAAUUCCUGGUGUAGCGGUGAAAUGCGCAGAUAUCAGGAGGAACACCGAUGGCGAAGGCAGGUCUCUGGGCAUUUACUGACGCUGAGGAGCGAAAGCAUGGGGAGCGAACAGGAUUAGAUACCCUGGUAGUCCAUGCCGUAAACGUUGGGCACUAGGUGUGGGGGACAUUCCACGUUUUCCGCGCCGUAGCUAACGCAUUAAGUGCCCCGCCUGGGGAGUACGGCCGCAAGCUAAAACUCAAAGGAAUUGACGGGGGCCCGCACAAGCGGCGGAGCAUGCGGAUUAAUUCGAUGCAACGCGAAGAACCUUACCAAGGCUUGACAUGUGCCAGACCGCCUCAGAGAUGGGGUUUCCUUCGGGGCUGGUUCACAGGUGGUGCAUGGUUGUCGUCAGCUCGUGUCGUGAGAUGUUGGGUUAAGUCCCGCAACGAGCGCAACCCUCGUUCCAUGUUGCCAGCACGUAGUGGUGGGGACUCAUGGGAGACUGCCGGGGUCAACUCGGAGGAAGGUGGGGAUGACGUCAAAUCAUCAUGCCCCUUAUGUCUUGGGCUUCACGCAUGCUACAAUGGCCGGUACAAUGGGUUGCGAUACUGUGAGGUGGAGCUAAUCCCUAAAAGCCGGUCUCAGUUCGGAUUGGGGUCUGCACUCGACCCCAUGAAGUCGGAGUCGCUAGUAAUCGCAGAUCAGCAACGCUGCGGUGAAUACGUUCCCGGGCCUUGUACACACCGCCCGUCAAGUCACGAAGUUUGGUAACACCCGAAGCCGAUGGCCUAACCACCUUUGUGUGGGGGGAGUCGUCGAAGG
rnacentral:rRNA from 1 species